UAAAUGUUUAAAUGCAUUAAAUACCAACUAAGCCCAAUCUGCAACAGUCCCGCUUUAAUCACAAUGAUACACUCCUAUGUUCAAUGCAGCACUUUAACACAAAAGUAAAUGUACACGUGUUUAUGAAUGAACGUUUAGAAACAUUCAUUACAUAAGAACAGCCUCCAUGUGAACUUCAGAUAAUAAUGACAGGUGACGGAGAUUUAAAAAAAAAAAAAAAUUAAUUAGAAUUUAGAAAUAGAAUUUAGAACUUCGAAUGUACCGAACUUCGAAUUCCUGAUCAGUAAUGAUUUCGUUAACAAUAAGAGCCUUAGUCGUAAGACUUGCGCGUUGUUAUUCUCUGUUGACUGUGUAUUUCUCGGUCUGAUCUUCUGCAGUUUAGGGAGUGCGGUUCUUCUCUCAGUAUCUUCACCAGAUCAUCAUCAGAAAUUAGUAAACAAGAUAAAAUUCUGAAGGACUUCUUUCUUCCGGAUCUCAAAAAACGCAAGUGUUUAUAAACAUAUCUACGACUAAACUCCGAUCUUAAAUAGUACUGUUACAAUACCUUGUUGGAUGCAAGUGCGGGGAUCAGGCGGAAGACGAAACACGGAAGACAGCGAGCGAUGAAGAUUGGGACAAGGUGAGGGAAUCAAAAGAAGUGAAGGAGAAGAUGAAGGAACACCAGGAAAUGCUGGAGAGUAUGAAGGUCUCCUAUCUCAGCAACCUGGACAGAAUCAUGGGGAGAGAGCAAGAAGUGGAUAACGUUACACAAUGAACACCACGACCACCAGUCAACGAAACACCGGAGUCUACUCACGUGAGGAGCUCUUGCAGUUCCGGGAUCAACCUGUUGCAUGUCCGAAGGGGAUCCCGGUGGAGUUAAGGAUUAGAAGGCGAGGAUGUCGUGCUGGCGUGAUGGUGAGGAAUAAGAAGACGGGGAGUCGGUGGAGAUACAAGCCCUGUCUUCCCACGGUCGUCAUGGGGAACGUCCGCUCACUGACAAACAAGAUGGAUGAACUCUCGGCCCUGGUCAGCGGGCAGCGCGAGUAUCGGGAGUGCAGCAUGUUAUGUCUGACUGAAACUUGGUUGAAUGGGAAAACACCAGACUGCUCAGUGGAACUAGCUGGCUUCGAGCUUAUAUAAUCCUUAUAAUCCUUAUAAUAUUCUGCAUUCCUUGUGUGUGUGGCUGCAUAGGCCUCUAUGUGUGUGUGUCUCUUAGUUGACCUUCUGCCUGCGUGCAGACGUACUCCACCUACGCUCUGAGGCCUGCCGCACUUAAUCAAAUACAUGUAUUGUUAUCCCCCUGCACCUUGCUUAUCUGUGUGUUGUGUCUUAGGUGGACAUCCGUUCAUACAGUCCACCAGCCCAGUGAAUUCUCAAUAAGAUUACAUAUUACUCAUACUAGGUCUCCCUCGUGUUUAUUUCUUGUGUUUUUCAUAUACAACAAGGUGGUGACUGAGAGGAGGAUGAGAAGGAAGCUGAAAACCAUCAUGGACGACCCCUCUCAUCCUCUCUAUGCUGAGCUGAGGCAGCUCAGGAGCUCCUUCAACCACAGACUCAUCCAGCCCUGAGCCUCAAAGCGCUUUGGAGGCUCAUUUGUGCCAUCAGCCAUCAGGCUCCACAACACCACAGCACCAAACUGACAGAUUUAAGCCUGAUUAUAUCUGAGACAUUAUUUGGUUGUAAAUAAUUGUUAUUGAUUAUAUAGUGUAAAUAGUGUGUGAAUACUUCUACAAUACAGCAUGUGUUCUGUUCUUUUAUAUUCCUUCGUGCUGCUAUGUUGACCUAAAUUUCCCCUACAGGGGAUUAAUAAAGUUAUAUCUUAUCUUA